rnacentral:rRNA from 1 species
GAUGAACGCUGGCGGCGUGCCUAAUACAUGCAAGUCGAGCGAACAGACGAGGAGCUUGCUCCUCUGACGUUAGCGGCGGACGGGUGAGUAACACGUGGAUAACCUACCUAUAAGACUGGGAUAACUUCGGGAAACCGGAGCUAAUACCGGAUAAUAUAUUGAACCGCAUGGUUCAAUAGUGAAAGACGGUUUUGCUGUCACUUAUAGAUGGAUCCGCGCCGCAUUAGCUAGUUGGUAAGGUAACGGCUUACCAAGGCAACGAUGCGUAGCCGACCUGAGAGGGUGAUCGGCCACACUGGAACUGAGACACGGUCCAGACUCCUACGGGAGGCAGCAGUAGGGAAUCUUCCGCAAUGGGCGAAAGCCUGACGGAGCAGCGCCGCGUGAGUGAUGAAGGUCUUCGGGUCGUGAAACUCUGUUAUUAGGGAAGAACAAAUGUGUAAGUAACUAUGCACGUCUUGACGGUACCUAAUCAGAAAGCCACGGCUAACUACGUG